AAUGCAGCAAUUGAAAAACAUCCAAAGGAAAAUACAAUCCAACAAAUAAAAGCCGUUUGUUUAGUAUUCCUCAUGAUCAUCAUCUUCGCCUUCGUCCAAUUCAGCACCAACCUCCUCGUAGUCCUUUUCCAGAGCAGCCAGAUCUUCACGUGCUUCACUGAACUCACCUUCCUCCAUACCCUCACCAACAUACCAGUGCACAAAAGCACGCUUGGCAUACAUCAGAUCGAACUUGUGAUCAAUGCGUGAGAAGACCUCAGCAACACUGGUUGAGUUGGAUAUCAUACAAACAGCCCUUUGCACCUUAGCAAGAUCACCUCCAGGAACAACAGUUGGUGGCUGAUAGUUGAUACCACACUUGAAUCCAGUAGGGCACCAGUCAACAAAUUGGAUGGUGCGCUUAGUCUUGAUGGUAGCCACAGCAGCAUUCACAUCCUU
rnacentral:lncRNA from 1 species